ensembl:lncRNA
AUGGUCCUCCAGGAGCCUCCACCCUGCUCCAGGGAUCACCAUGGUCCUCCAGGAGCCUCCAGGGAUCACCACUGUCCUCCAGGAGCUUCCAGGGAUCACCACUGUCCUCCAGGAGUCUCCAUCCUGCUCCAGGGAUCACCGCUGUCCUCCAGGAGCCUCCAGGGAUCACCAUGGUCCUCCAGGAGCCUCCAGGGAUCACCACUGUCCUCCAGGAGCCUCCACCCUGCUCCAGGGAUCACCGCUGUCCUCCAGGAGCCUCCAGGGAUCACCGCUGUCCUCCAGGAGCCUCCACCCUGCUCCAGGGAUCACCGCUGUCCUCCAGGAGCCUCCACCCUGCUCCAGGGAUCACCAUGGUCCUCCAGGAGCCUCCAGGGAUCACCGCUGUCCUCCAGGAGCCUCCACCCUGCUCCAGGGAUCACCGCUGUCCUCCAGGAGCCUCGACCCUGCUCCCCCAGCCAUCUUUCUCCUCCUCCAGGAAUCAUCAUUCUCCUUCUUCUGGAGCCACCACCAUCCUCCUCCAGGAGCCACCAUCCUCCUCCAGGAAUCAUCAUCAUCUUCCCCAUGAACCAUCCUCCUCCUCCAGGAGCCCUCAUCUUCCUCAUCUUCCUCCUCCAGGAGCCCUCCUCUUCCUCCUCCUCCUCCUCCUCCUCCAGGAGCCCUCAUCCUCCUCUUCCUCCUCCUCCUCCAGGAGCCCUCAUCCUCCUCUUCUUCCUCCUCCUCCAGGAGCCCUCAUCCUCCUCUUCCUCCUCCUCCUCCAGGAGCCCUCAUCCUCCUCCUCCUCUUCCUCCUCCAGGAGCCCUCCUCCUCCUCCUCCUCCUCCAGGAGCCCUCCUCCUCCUCCUCUUCCUCCUCCAGGAGCCCUCAUCCUCCUCCUCCUCUUCCUCCUCCAGGAGCCCUCAUCCUCCUCUUCCUCCUCCUCCUCCAGGAGCCCUCAUCCUCCUCCUCCUCUUCCUCCUCCAGGAGCCCUCAUCCUCCUCCUCCUCUUCCUCCUCCAGGAGCCCUCAUCCUCCUCCUCCUCCUCCUCCUCCUCCUCCUCCUCCAGGAGCCCUCCUCCUCCUCCUCUUCCUCCUCCAGGAGCCCUCAUCCUCCUCCUCCUCCUCCUCCUCCUCCUCCAGGAGCCCUCAUCUUCCUCUUCUUCCUCCAGGAGCCCUCAUCCUCCUCCUCCUCAUCCCCCCCCUCCUCCUCCUCCAGACCCCUCCUGCCUCUCCCCCCCCAGGCCCGGAGCUGCCCCCGCUCCUCCAGCCCAGGAGCUCCCUCCACUCCAAGCCCACCAGGAGCCACCUGGGGCCCCCAAACCUCUGCCAGAGCCUUCGAACGCCACCCAACCCCCCCAGCGCAGGGCCGAGAAGGGAAUGAAAGGUCACUUACCCACCCGAGGAGCUGGGAACUCAUCCCACGGUCCCAAAGGCACGGCUCAGGGCUCUGGCUGAGCCUCUCUUCUGCAGCUGGAGGCCAAAAUCAAACCAGAACCUGCUCCAGAACCUGCUCCAGAACCUGCUGCAAAGCUCUAACCUGGCUCAGCGCUCACCUUCCCUCCGUGUCCUGCUCUACCUGGUCACUCAUCACACAAAGAGCUGGAGGAAAGGGAGCAAGGUAA